GGAGUACGGUCGCAAGAUUAAAACUCAAAGGAAUUGACGGGGACCCGCACAAGCGGUGGAUGAUGUGGAUUAAUUCGAUGCUACGCGAUAUACCUUACCUACCCUUGACAUGCGCAAGAACCUUGCUGAAAGGCGAGGGUGCCCGAAAGGGAGCUUGGACACAGGUGCUGCAUGGCUGUCGUCAGCUCGUGUCGUGAGAUGUUGGGUUAAGUCCCGCAACGAGCGCAACCCUUGUCCUUAGUUGCUACGCAAGAGCACUCUAAGGAGACUGCCGGUGACAAACCGGAGGAAGGUGGGGAUGACGUCAAGUCCUCAUGGCCCUUAUGGGUAGGGCUUCACACGUCAUACAAUGGUCGGUACAGAGGGCUGCCAACCCGCGAGGGGGAGCCAAUCCCAGAAAACCGAUCGUAGUCCGGAUUGCAGUCUGCAACUCGACUGCAUGAAGUCGGAAUCGCUAGUAAUCGCGGAUCAGCAUGUCGCGGUGAUACGUUCCCGGGUCUUGUACACACCGCC
rnacentral:rRNA from 1 species